AUGAUAGCGCGACAGCGAAAUAUUGAAAAUCUAAAUAUUAUGUUAACUGUAAACAACACGUGCGGCUAGCAAACAAACAACACCUGCACUUGUUUACGACACACGUGCAAGGUACGGUAGUGGGGACAACCCUUAUAAGACGGCGAGCCGCACGAGUUGCACCAUUCUUGUGUCGAACUCCGUACAGAGAACAUCCAAUAAAAGUAACCCGUGACAGUGAACCAUUGUUUAACUGGCGCUAUGCGUCCUCCACAAAGGUCACUGUUACCUUGGGAUCAGAGUAUAAUAUUCGUACUUUAACAUCAGAAGUAGAGGAUCGUCCUGCUGCCCACCCAUUAUAUUGAAAAAGACGGCCACAAAGGAUGAAACUAAGUUUCAAAUACUCGUAUUAUCCUGAUAAGAUAAUAAUCGUGGAUGGAGUCAGGAUCGAGGAUAAUGGUGCCUACCUGCAUUUGAAUACUAUUGUUACGGUGAGUCGUUUUCAUACUGGAACUUUAUUGUUAUUGACUUCAUUGCUGGGUGUAUUUUAAUUUUUAAUAAUGAGGAAAUUGAUUUCAAAUUAACUUGGAAAGUACUAUUUCUCUUUAUUUUAAAACAAAAUUGACGAGAUAUAUUCCCGCAAUACGUGUCAAUCAUAAUUCAAACCGCGUUUUCAAAUCGGUUUUCAUCAUUGUCAAAUCUUGGUAUUUUGGUCUAAAAAUGUUUUGAAUUGGUGCAGACACGCUAACGCUGCGUGGUUUAAGCUGUAUUUUCUCACUCCAAGCAAUAAAGAAAUAAACUUUCGUUAAAUUACAACGUGAUUUGUAAUCUACCGUCAUUAAUCAAAUCUUUAUAAACCGAUUGAAAGAGUCAUGUGAAUGUGAUAAUACACCUAGUUAUUUUGUUUCAUGUGACCACUGCUAAAUGACGACGAGUGAAUGACAAACGGCGAAGGCGUUACAGCAUGGCACACUCUGAGAGUGGCAGCCGUGCCGCGUGUGUGCCGUGUGGUGGUGACUUCGUGGCAGCGUAUUGUAUACUAAGCUGGCGCUUGAUUGCCGAUAGCCGCCAUUUCUUUUAAUAGAUUAUCAGAAUGACCGAACAAUCUUCAGAAAGCAAGAAACGUUUCGAUUCCAAAUGUGCUAAAGUAAAAUUAUUUCAUCCAGGAGACUUUGUGCUUUGUAAAGCAACCCAAUGGUCUAAAAACAAGCUAGGUCCUAAAUAUUUAGGGCCAUAUCAAAUUGUAAAAAUUAUUGGCAAUAAUCGAUACGAAAUACAAAGUCUUCGUCCUGGCCAAAAAAAAAAUACUACAAUAGCUCAUGAACAUCUCAGAUUAAUACCAAACCCGAA